rnacentral:rRNA from 1 species
UACGUAGGGGGCAAGCGUUGUCCGGAAUCAUUGGGCGUAAAGCGCGUGUAGGCGGCUUGGUAAGUCUGCUCUGAAAGCCCGGGGCUCAACCCCGGGAGGCGGGUGGAUACUGUCAAGCUCGAGUCCGGAAGAGGAGUGUGGAAUUCCUGGUGUAGCGGUGAAGUGCGCAGAUAUCAGGAGGAACACCAAUGGCGAAGGCAGCACUCUGGGACGUGACUGACGCUGAGGAGCGAAAGCCAGGGGAGCAAACGGG